GAUGAACGCUGGCGGCGUGUCUAAUACAUGCAAGUCGAGCGAACGGACCAGAAGCUUGCCUCUCUGAUGUUAGCGGCGGACGUGUGAGUAACACGUGGACAACCUACCUAUUAGACUGGGCUAACUUUGGGAAACCGUAUCCAAUACCGGAUAAUAUUUUGAACCGCCUGGUUCAAAAUUGAAAGACGGUCUUGCUGUCACUCAUAGAUGGAUCCGCGCUGCAUUAGCUACUUGGUAAGGUAACGGCUUCCCACGCCAACGAUGCAUAGCCGACCUGAGAGGGUGAUCGGCCACACUAGGACUGAGACACGGUCCAGACUGCUACGGGAGGCAGCAGCAGGGAAUCUUCCGCAAUGGGCGAAAGCCUGACGGAGCAACGCCGCGUGAGUGAUGAGGCUCUUCGGAUAGUAGAGCGCUGUUCUUCGGGAAGAACGUAUGUGUAAGUAACUGUGAACAUCUUGACGGUACCUAGUCAAGAAGGCACGGCUAACUACGUG
rnacentral:rRNA from 1 species